AUGGCCAGCGAAGGCGAGCACGCGGCGGCGGCGGCGGCGGCGGGCGAGCAGACGCCGCUCAAGAAGGCGGGCGAGGCGGAGCAGGGCGAGGAGCUCCAGGCCCCCUCCGGCUGGACCAAGAAGCUUAAUCCCACUCGGGGUGGGAAGUUUGAGGUUGUUUUUGUUGCACCAACUGGCGAGGAGGUCAAGACCAAGAGAGCUUUAACCACAUACCUAAAAGCACACCCUGGAGGCCCUGCUCUUUCAGAGUUCGUCUGGGCAACUGCAGGCAAUACUCCCAGACGAUCCUCACGUCUAAGUGCAAAGCCUAAGGCUACUGAGAGCCCAGAAGAUGAGAAACCCUCACGCCGAAGUGGAAAGUCUAAGGCUACCGAGAGCCCGGAAGAUGAGAAACCUGCCAAACGGGGAAGGCCCUCAAGCUCUAAGAAAGGCAAAAAGGGGAAACAGGAGGAUGCAGAGGACGCAGAAGCUGAAAGUGGAGAUCAUGCUGAUGCUGAAGAAGCCAAAGGCACUGAAGUGGAGAUGAAAGAUGCUGAAGAAGCCAAAGUCACUGACCUGGACCUGGAGAUGAAAGAAGCUGACAAUGCUCAGGAAGAGAAGAAAGAGGAAGAGGCUGGCAGUUUGGUUGGAGAGAAGAAAGAAGCUGACACUGUUGCUCCGGAAGAGAAGAAAGAGGCUGACACUGUUGCUCCGGAGGAGGAGAAGAAAGAGGCCGACACUGUUGCUCCGGAAGAGAAGAAAGAGGCCGGCACUGUUGCUCCGGAAGAGAAGAAAGAGGCCGACACUGUUGCUCCGGAAGAGAAGAAAGAGGCCGACACUGUUGCUCAAGAAGAGAAGAAAGAGGCUGACACUGUUGCUCAAGAAGAGAAGAAAGAUGCCCCUGUCGUUGAUGCCCCAGAGAAGACUGAAGAAGUGGAAGGCGAGGCAGCUGAAUCUGAGGUAGCUCCCGUGGAGGCUGAGAUGCCUGACCCUGUAACGGAGAACAAGGAAAACGAGAAGCCAGCUGAAUUUGAAGAAGUCCCGGUGGAGUUUGAGAUGUCUGACCUUGUAUCCGAGAACAAGGAAAACGAGAAGCCAGCUGAAUCUGAAGAAGUCCCCGUGGAGUUUGAGAUGUCUGCCCCUGUAUUAGAAGAGCACAUGGAAGAUGAAAAGGCAGCUGAAUAUGAAGUAGCUCCCGUGGAGGGUGAGAAAACUGAAAACGGCCUGGCAGUCGAAUCCACAGUGCCACCUCCAGCAUCUUCAGAGGAAAAGAAAGUAGAGGCAGAUAGCACCAUCAAUCCGGCGACCCCUCCUCCAGCUGAGGUGAAGGCAGAUGCUCCAGCGGCAGAGGCAGCAAAAGCCACGGAGAAUCCAGCAGACAACGCCGUCCCCGAAGAACAAUCCGCCGCGAACGUCGACAACAAUGGACAGAUUCAUCCAGGUGUUUCUACCGUGAGGUGCACCUGA
rnacentral:rRNA from 1 species